CCUACGGGAGGCAGCAGUGAGGAAUAUUGGUCAAUGGACUUAACCCUGAACCAGCCAAGUCGCGUGCGGGAAGACUGCCCUAUGGGUUGUAAACCUCUUUUGUCAGGGGGCAACGCCGGCUACGUGUAGCCGGACUCAGAGUACCUGAAGAAAAAGCAUCGGCUAACUCCGUGCCAGCAGCCGCGGUAAUACGGAGGAUGCGAGCGUGAUCCGGAUUUAUUGGGUUUAAAGGGGGCGUGGGCGGAAUGCCAAGUCAGCGGUAAAAUCGGCGGGCUAAACCUCGCUCAACGGGGUGAAGUGCAAGUGAUACUGGCGUGCUGGAAUGCGGAUGAGGUGGGAGGAAUGUGUGGUGUAGCGGUGAAAUGCAUAGAUAUCACACAGAACACCGAUUGCGAAGGCAGCUUACG
rnacentral:rRNA from 1 species